rnacentral:tRNA from 1 species
GCCCGCCUAGCUCAAUCGGAUAGAGCGUCAGACUUUUAAAGAGCGGGAUCUGAAGGCUGCGAGUUCGACCCUCGCGGUGGGCU